rnacentral:rRNA from 1 species
AGCGACCCCGGGUCGGGAGAGACUACCCGCUGAGUUUAA